CAGCUGUCAAAGCUCAGUGGCCUGGAGUGGAGACGGGGCGGGGCUUAGGAGCGGAGGCGGAGCCUCGGAGAGCAUCUUCUGGCCCCGGGGCCUGGACUGGCCCGCCGCCCCCACCUGCAGCGCGGCGGAGCGCGGGCGCGUCACUCCCAGCGGAAGCGCCAGCCCCGCGUCUGGCGAGGUGCGCGCCUCGCCGCUCCCGCUCCAGCGCUUCGUGGCCCGCCUGUGUCUGCAGGGCAGGGGCGGGGGCCCGGUGACACGGACAGGGGACUGAGAUCGCAGUCGCCGCCGAAUCGUCGACAGUCACCCAGCUCGGACGGAGCGUCCGAGCAGGAGCCGAUCAGGAAGGUGAAGGACCACUGCGGAGCCGACAGCGCGUCCCAGCACCUUGGACUUGCUCUCUCCUGAACUGGGGAAAAUCUGAGGAAACCAGGCACGGACCUUGGAGACACGCCGCCUGCACACUCAACAGUCUGGAAAUCCAGCCACCUUGGUACCUCGCCGCUUCCCAGACACUUUGGAGGAGCAGGUUUGCAAUUUCUACCCCCAUCCUCAUCCCCUCCCCCGUCUCUGUCUCUGCUGAGGGAGGGAAUCUUCUGAGGAGAAGAUGGGAUCUAGGCACCCAUAACCUAGCCCCAGGAAGAGCUCAUGGGAGCCAGCCUAGCUUUGUAGCUAUGUGAGGGAAACAGCACACCUUAUAAACUAACUCCUUCCCAUGGGCAGUUCCUGAAUAUUUCUUAGAAGACUGGAGACCCAAGAAAGCUGACUUUUCCUGGGCAGUCAGUGCAUCUUUUAUUUGGCUCCGACUCUCUGCUUGCUGGGAACAGACACAUUUUGCUUAUGACCUCUGGCUGGCCUCAUUACAGUUGCUGUCUGGCUUUGGACUGCUUGCCCAUCAGGACAGUGAUUUUGAAGAGCUGACUGGGAAGAGAAAGCUGCAAGCCUCAAGUCCUGGUUGGCUCCUGCUCAGGGUUGUAGUCUUCUGUGGGACCCGUGGGCUCCCUAAUCCUCUGGACUGUGGCAGCAACUCUGCCCUUCACCUCUGCAAGGAAAUUAAUUUUCAAACAACUUGGGGAUGAUGGUGGAGGCACCCCUGUGUGAGCAGAUGCAGGGCUUGGAAGCAACCAGGAAACAAACAGGAGUAAGAAAUCCUUUUUAAAGGCUUACAUGAUUCUGGGACUAAGAAAAGAUGGAGAUGCCAUUGGUGUGUGAAACCUGACAUCUCCCUGUUAGGUCCCACCAGUCCAGGGGACUCACAUAAGCAGGACCUGUAUUGGAUGAUGCAUAUUUGGAACCUAGUACUUACUGAAUUCCUAAGCAGUAAAUGCCUCCC
rnacentral:lncRNA from 1 species